rnacentral:rRNA from 1 species
UACAUGCAAGUUGAACGAGAUUAGUUUUAGCAAUAGAACUUUUUUAGUGGCGCACCGGUGCGUAACGCGUAUGCAACCUACCUUAAACAGGGGGAUAGCCUCUCGAAAGAGAGAUUAAUACCGCAUAAUAUAUAUUUGGAGCAUUCUAGAUAUAUUAAACCUACGGGGGUUUAAGAUGGGCAUGCGUGACAUUAGCUAGUUGGUGAGGUAAUGGCUCACCAAGGCAACGAUGUCUAGGGGGUCUGAGAGGAUGUCCCCCCACACUGGUACUGAGACACGGACCAGACUCCUACGGGAGGCAGCAGUAGGGAAUAUUGGUCAAUGGAGGCAACUCUGAACCAGCCAUGCCGCGUGCAGGACUAAGGCCCUAUGGGUCGUAAACUGCUUUUGAACGGGAAGAAAUGUAUCUACGUGUAGAUAUUUGACGGUACCGUUAGAAUAAGGAUCGGCUAACUUCGUGCCAGCAGCCGCGGUAAUACGAAGGAUCCAAGCGUUGUCCGGAUUUACUGGGUUUAAAGGGUGCGUAGGCGGACUUAUAAGUCAGUGGUGAAAGCCUUCAGCUUAACUGAAGAACUGCCAUUGAAACUGUAAGUCUCGAGUUCGGUUGAGGUCAUUGGAAUGUAACAUGUAGCGGUGAAAUGCAUAGAUAUGUUACAGAACACCAAUUGCGAAGGCAGAUGACUAAACCGAAACUGACGCUGAGGCACGAAAGCGUGGGGAUCAAACAGGAUUAGAUACCCUGGUAGUCCACGCCCUAAACGUUGAAUACUCGACCUUAGCGAUAUACAGUUAGGGUCCAAGCGAAAGCGUUAAGUAUUCCACCUGGGAAGUACGUUCGCAAGAAUGAAACUCAAAGGAAUUGACGGGGGCCCGCACAAGCGGAGGAGCAUGUGGUUUAAUUCGAUGAUACGCGAGGAACCUUACCUGGGCUUGAAAUGUAGCGAUCGAUGCAGAAAUGCAUAAUUCCU